rnacentral:rRNA from 1 species
AAUGGGCGAAAGCCUGGUCCAGCCAUGCCGCGUGCAGGAUGAAGGCCUUCGGGUUGUAAACUGCUUUUGUACGGAACGAAAAGCCUCUUUCUAAUAAAGAGGGGUCAUGACGGUACCGUAAGAAUAAGCACCGGCUAACACGUGCCAGCAGCCGCGGUAAUACGUAGGGUGCAAGCGUUAAUCGGAAUUACUGGGCGUAAAGCGUGCGCAGGCGGUUUUGUAAGACAGAGGUGAAAUCCCCGGGCUCAACCUGGGAACUGCCUUUGUGACUGCAAGGCUGGAGUGCGGCAGAGGGGGAUGGAAUUCCGCGUGUAGCAGUGAAAUGCGUAGAUAUGCGGAGGAACACCGAUGGCGAAGGCAAUCCCCUGGGCCUGCACUGACGCUCAUGCACGAAAGCGUGGGGAGCAAACAGGAUU